ensembl:snRNA U6 U6 spliceosomal RNA
GUGUUCACUUCGGCAGCACGUAUAUUAAAAUUGGAGUGAUACAGAGAAGAUUAGCACGGCCCCCUGCACAAGGAUGACUCGCAAAUUUGUGGGGAAAAAAACCACAAACAU